GGGCCGGUAGCUCAGUUGGGAGAGCGCCAGAAUCGCACUCUGGAGGUCGGGAGUUCGAAUCUCCUCCGGUCCAC
rnacentral:tRNA from 1 species